rnacentral:rRNA from 1 species
UACGUAGGGUGCAAGCGUUAUUCGGAAUUACUGGGCGUAAAGCGUGCGUAGGCGGCUAUGUAAGACAGAUGUGAAAUCCCUGGGCUUAACCUAGGAACUGCAUUUGUGACUGCAUUGCUAGAGUGUGGUAGAGGGAGAUGGAAUUCCGCGUGUAGCAGUGAAAUGCGUAGAUAUGCGGAGGAACACCAAUGGCGAAGGCAAUCUCCUGGACCUGCACUGACGCUCAUGCACGAAAGCGUGGGGAGCAAACAGG